GACGAACGCUGGCGGCACGCCUAACACAUGCAAGUCGGGCGGAGAUUUAAAGCUUGCUUUAAAUCUUAGCGGCGGACGGGUGAGUAACACGUGAGGAACCUGCCUUUCAGAGGGGAAUAACGUUUGGAAACGGACGCUAAUACCGCAUAAUGUAUGUUUGUGGCAUCACAGACAUACCAAAGGAGUAAUCCGCUGAGAGAUGGCCUCGCGCCUGAUUAGCUAGUUGGUG
rnacentral:rRNA from 1 species